AUUGAACGCUGGCGGCAUGCCUAACACAUGCAAGUCGAACGGUAACGCGGGGGCAACCCUGGCGACGAGUGGCGGACGGGUGAGUAAUACAUCGGAACGUGCCCAGUAGUGGGGGAUAGCCCGGCGAAAGCCGGAUUAAUACCGCAUACGACCUACGGGUGAAAGCGGGGGAUCGCAAGACCUCGCGCUAUUGGAGCGGCCGAUGUCAGAUUAGCUAGUUGGUGGGGUAAAAGCCUACCAAGGCGACGAUCUGUAGCUGGUCUGAGAGGACGACCAGCCACACUGGGACUGAGACACGGCCCAGACUCCUACGGGAGGCAGCAGUGGGAAUUUUGGACAAUGGGGGCAACCCUGAUCCAGCCAUGCCGCGUGCGGGAAGAAGGCC
rnacentral:rRNA from 1 species